AUUGAACGCUGGCGGCAUGCCUUACACAUGCAAGUCGAACGGUAACAGGUCUUCGGAUGCUGACGAGCGGCGAACGGGUGAGUAAUACAUCGGAACGUGCCUAGUAGUGGGGGAUAACUACUCGAAAGAGUGGCUAAUACCGCAUGAGAUCUACGGAUGAAAGCAGGGGAUCGCAAGACCUUGUGCUACUAGAGCGGCCGAUGGCAGAUUAGGUAGUUGGUGGGAUAAAAGCUUACCAAGCCGACGAUCUGUAGCUGGUCUGAGAGGGCGAUCAGCCACACUGGGACUGAGAAACGGCCCAGACUCCUACGGGAGGCAGCAGUGGGGAAUUUUGGACAAUGGGCGCAAGCCUGAUCCAGCAAUGCCGCGUGCAGGAUGAAGGCCUUCGGGUUGUAAACUGCUUUUGUACGGAACGAAAAGCCCCGGGUUAAUACCCUGGGGUCAUGACGGUACCGUAAGAAUAAGCACCGGCUAACUACGUGCCAGCAGCCGCAGUAA
rnacentral:rRNA from 1 species